rfam:Bacteroides sp. CAG:714 genomic scaffold, scf92
UUCAUCGUGAGGUGGAAUCUGAAAAAAGCUGACGGUAAAUAUUUGGCUUGACGUACAGAAACUUUCGGUAACGCAAUCAAAAAGGGUGGAACCCAUGAGGCCCCACCCUUUUUAUGCGAUUUUAAAUACCGUUCAAGUGCGGUUUAAAAACGGAUUAUU